GCAAAUCUUGGUCGAUCUUGGUGACACAAA
rnacentral:piRNA from 1 species